rnacentral:lncRNA from 1 species
UCACUGGUGAGUUUAGAAAGAGAGUUUUUCUGGUUGCUGGACUCUGGUUUCUCAGAGAUUUUAAACUUGGAAAGUUUUUCGUUGCUUUGUUCCAAGAUUUUUCCUGAGACUUUGAAGUCAUCACUGAGAUUAGGGAAUUUUUCCUUUUGGAAUUCAGGGAUCUUAAAGAUGGGGUUGGCUAUAGGAUUAGGGCUUGGAGUCCCUUUCUCAGGAGCGGGGGGACUAAAAGGAAGUAUCGAGUUUUUAGUAUCUCCUAUUUGUUGGGAGAUAGUGUGAAGGACCUGAUUAGUAUAGUUGUUUUGUCAACUAUCCUAUUGAGGUCUCUAUUAAUAGGGGCUGAUAGAGGUCUAUCAUGCUUCUUCUUAAAGGGUGAAGCAUUGAGGACUUCAUUGGAAUGAGGAAUUUUUAUCCCUUCGAGAGGAGGAGUAACGGAUUCAAUUAUCUUGUUACUCU